rnacentral:rRNA from 1 species
GAUGAACGCUGGCGGCGUGCCUAAUACAUGCAAGUCGAGCGAACGGACGAGAAGCUUGCUUCUCUGAUGUUAGCGGCGGACGGGUGAGUAACACGUGGAUAACCUACCUAUAAGACUGGGAUAACUUCGGGAAACCGGAGCUAAUACCGGAUAAUAUUUUGAACCGCAUGGUUCAAAAGUGAAAGACGGUCUUGCUGUCACUUAUAGAUGGAUCCGCGCUGCAUUAGCUAGUUGGUAAGGUAACGGCUUACCAAGGCAACGAUGCAUAGCCGACCUGAGAGGGUGAUCGGCCACACUGGAACUGAGACACGGUCCAGACUCCUACGGGAGGCAGCAGUAGGGAAUCUUCCGCAAUGGGCGAAAGCCUGACGGAGCAACGCCGCGUGAGUGAUGAAGGUCUUCGGAUCGUAAAACUCUGUUAUUAGGGAAGAACAUAUGUGUAAGUAACUGUGCACAUCUUGACGGUACCUAAUCAGAAAGCCACGGCUAACUACGUGCCAGCAGCCGCGGUAAUACGUAGGUGGCAAGCGUUAUCCGGAAUUAUUGGGCGUAAAGCGCGCGUAGGCGGUUUUUUAAGUCUGAUGUGAAAGCCCACGGCUCAACCGUGGAGGGUCAUUGGAAACGUGGAAAACUUGAGUGCAGAAGAGGAAAGUGGAAUUCCAUGUGUAGCGGUGAAAUGCGCAGAGAUAUGGAGGAACACCAGUGGCGAAGGCGACUUUCUGGUCUGUAACUGACGCUGAUGUGCGAAAGCGUGGGGAUCGAACAGGAUUAGAUACCCUGGUAGUCCACGCCGUAAACGAUGAGUGCUAAGUGUUAGGGGGUUUCCGCCCCUUAGUGCUGCAGCUAACGCAUUAAGCACUCCGCCUGGGGAGUACGACCGCAAGGUUGAAACUCAAAGGAAUUGACGGGGACCCGCACAAGCGGUGGAGCAUGUGGUUUAAUUCGAAGCAACGCGAAGAACCUUACCAAAUCUUGACAUCCUUUGACAACUCUAGAGAUAGAGCCUUCCCCUUCGGGGGACAAAGUGACAGGUGGUGCAUGGUUGUCGUCAGCUCGUGUCGUGAGAUGUUGGGUUAAGUCCCGCAACGAGCGCAACCCUUAAGCUUAGUUGCCAUCAUUAAGUUGGGCACUCUAAGUUGACUGCCGGUGACAAACCGGAGGAAGGUGGGGAUGACGUCAAAUCAUCAUGCCCCUUAUGAUUUGGGCUACACACGUGCUACAAUGGACAAUACAAAGGGCAGCGAAACCGCGAGGUCAAGCAAAUCCCAUAAAGUUGUUCUCAGUUCGGAUUGUAGUCUGCAACUCGACUACAUGAAGCUGGAAUCGCUAGUAAUCGUAGAUCAGCAUGCUACGGUGAAUACGUUCCCGGGUCU